GACGAACCGUCCAAACGUUAUUCGGAAUUACUGGGCGUAAAGGGCUCGUAGGCGGCCAACUAAGUCACACGUGAAAUCCCCAGGCUUAACCUGGGAACUGCGUGUGAUACUGGAUGGCUUGAAUCCGGGAGAGGGAUGCAGAAUUCCAGGUGUAGCGGUGAAAUGCGUAGAUAUCUGGAGGAAUACCGGUGGCGAAGGCGGCAUCCUGGACCGGCAUUGACGCUGAUGAGCGAAAGCUAGGGGAGCAAACGGG
rnacentral:rRNA from 1 species